rnacentral:rRNA from 1 species
GCACAGAGGAGCUUGCUCCUCGGGUGACGAGUGGCGGACGGGUGAGUAAUGUCUGGGAAACUGCCCGAUGGAGGGGGAUAACUACUGGAAACGGUAGCUAAUACCGCAUAACGUCGCAAGACCAAAGUGGGGGACCUCCGGGCCUCACACCAUCGGAUGUGCCCAGAUGGGAUUAGCUUGUAGGCGGGGUAACGGCCCACCUAGGCGACGAUCCCUAGCUGGUCUGAGAGGAUGACCAGCCACACUGGAACUGAGACACGGUCCAGACUCCUACGGGAGGCAGCAGUGGGGAAUAUUGCACAAUGGGCGCAAGCCUGAUGCAGCCAUGCCGCGUGUAUGAAGAAGGCCUUCGGGUUGUAAAGUACUUUCAGCGGGGAGGAAGGUGNUGAGGUUAAUAACCUCAGCNAUUGACGUUACCCGCAGAAGAAGCACCGGCUAACUCCGUGCCAGCAGCCGCGGUAAUACGGAGGGUGCAAGCGUUAAUCGGAAUUACUGGGCGUANAGCGCACGCAGGCGGUCUGUUAAGUCAGAUGUGAAAUCCCCGGGCUUA